UACAGAGGUCCCAAGCGUUGUUCGGAUUCACUGGGCGUAAAGGGUGCGUAGGUGGCGGGGUAAGUUUGAUGUGAAAGCUCCGGGCUUAACCCGGAAAUGGCAUUGAAUACUAUCUCGCUCGAGGGUUGGAGGGGGGACUGGAAUACUUGGUGUAGCAGUGAAAUGCGUAGAUAUCAAGUGGAACACCAGUGGCGAAGGCGAGUCCCUGGACAACUCCUGACACUGAGGCACGAAAGCUAGGGGAGCAAACAGG
rnacentral:rRNA from 1 species